AUACGGAGGGGGCUAGCGUUGUUCGGAAUUACUGGGCGUAAAGCGCGCGUAGGCGGAUUGACAAGUUGGAGGUGAAAUCCCGGGGCUCAACCCCGGAACUGCCUUCAAAACUGUCAGUCUUGAGUUCGGAAGAGGUGAGUGGAAUUCCUAGUGUAGAGGUGAAAUUCGUAGAUAUUAGGAAGAACACCAGUGGCGAAGGCGACUCACUGGUCCGAUCCUGACGCUGAGGUGCGAAAGCGUGGGGAGCAAACAGGAUUAGAAACCCCGGUAGUCC
rnacentral:rRNA from 1 species